rnacentral:rRNA from 1 species
AUUAGCUAGUUGGUAGGGUAAUGGCCUACCAAGGCGACGAUUGGUAUCCGAACUGAGAGGUUGAUCGGACGCAUUGGGACUGAGACACGGCCCAGACUCCUACGGGAGGCAGCAGUGGGGAAUAUUGCGCAAUGGGGGCAACCCUGACGCAGCAACGCCGCGUGAAGGAUGAAGGCUUUCGGGUUGUAAACUUCUUUGAUCGGGGACGAAGAUGACGGUACCCGAGGAACAAGCCACGGCUAACUACGUGCCAGCAGCCGCGGUAAUACGUAGGUGGCAAGCGUUGUCCGGAAUUACUGGGUGUAAAGGGCGUGUAGGCGGGGAGACAAGUCAGAUGUGAAAUACCGUGGCUUAACUGCGGGGGUGCAUCUGAAACUGUUUCUCUUGAGUGUCGGAGAGGAAAGUGGAAUUCCCAGUGUAGCGGUGAAAUGCGUAGAGAUUGGGAGGAACACCAGUGGCGAAGGCGGCUUUCUGGACGAUAACUGACGCUGAGGCGCGAAAGCGUGGGUAGCAAACAGGAUUAGAUACCCUGGUAGUCCACGCCGUAAACGAUGGAUACUAGGUGUAGGAGGUAUCGACCCCUUCUGUGCCGCAGUUAACACAAUA